UGUGCAAACAUUAGUGGAGUGCAUCUUAGGGUGUCCGGAUGCCUACCAUCAGUCUAUUUACGCAAAUCUUUUAGAGCAAGUGGCCGGAUGUCACCAUGGAAAAGAUUUUCGUAGCGCUUUAACAUCGCAAAGGCCCAUGGAAAAUGUAGCAGAAGAGGAGGAUUGUAAUUCACCAGAAACAUCUCCAAAUCAAGAAUUUGCGGCAGGCACUUCAACAAAUUCAAUUCAUUUAAGCAUACCAUAUGGGAAUGGGCAGAGAAGCACUACGUUAAUAAGCAUGCUUGAGAUAUGGUCUAGAAGCUUCUUGCAGGACAUCUACAGCCACGGCGUUAUUUAUACUGUCUGCUUUCCUCAAAGAGAAAUCCCACAAUGGUUCUGCCGUCAGA